rnacentral:pre_miRNA from 2 species
AGUGCAGUUGCUAGAUUGUAUGGUAAGAUUAUGUUUAGUUUUAUAAGCAACUGCCAAACUGUCUUCCAAAGUGGCUGCACCAGUUUGCAUUUUUACCAGCAAU